UACAGAGGGGGCAAGCGUUGUUCGGAAUUACUGGGCGUAAAGGGCGCGUAGGCGGCCUUCUAAGUCGAACGUGAAAUCCCCGGGCUCAACCCGGGAACUGCGUCCGAUACUGGAAGGCUUGAAUCCGGGAGAGGGAUGUGGAAUUCCAGGUGUAGCGGUGAAAUGCGUAGAUAUCUGGAGGAACACCGGUGGCGAAGGCGGCAUCCUGGACCGGUAUUGACGCUGAGGCGCGAAAGCUAGGGGAGCAAACAGG
rnacentral:rRNA from 1 species